AAGCAUAUCANUAAGCGGAGGAAAGAAACUACAAGGAUUCCCCUAGUAAUGGCGAAUGAAGCGGGAACAGCUCAAAUUUGAAAUCUGCGUCGCUUGCGACGUCGAAUUGUAGUUUCUAGAAGCAUUUUCUAGGCGGGCCCGGGGCCGUCCAAGUUGCUUGGAACAGCACGUCAUAGAGGGUGACAACCCCGUCUGUGGCGGAACCGGCCGCUCACGAUGUGCUUUCGACGAGUCGGGUUGUUUGGGAAUGCAGCCCAAAAUGGGUGGUAAACUCCAUCUAAAGCUAAAUAUUGGCACGAGACCGAUAGCGAACAAGUACCGUGAGGGAAAGAUGAAAAGCACUUUGAAAAGAGAGUUAAAAAGUACGUGAAACCGUUAAAAGGGAAACGCAUGGGGUUAGCAAUGCGCUUCGCGAGAUUCAGCCGGGUGUCGCUUCGGGUGAGCGGUUUGCGGAUCUGAAUGGACUGCGGCCGUUCGGUUCGGAGCUUCGACCGUCGCACUUCUCGCGGGCGCGCGCCAACGUCGGUUGGCACUGGGUUUCAAAGGCGCGAGCAAGGUAGGUUCUUUCCUUCGGGAGGGAGCUGUUAUAGGCUCGUGUCGCAUGGCCCGGAGCCGACCGAGGUGCCGCGGUGUAUGCCUCCUUCGGGUUGGCUAGAGUUUCGUCUUGCCGGUUGGUAGUCAGCUGUGGUGGACUGCGUGCAGUGCGCCGCGACCGCUGCCGGUCGAUAAGGCGGUGACUUCGUAUCAUACGCCCAGGACGUUGGCGGUCAAAUGGCCUCAUUCGACCCGUCUUGAAACACGGACCAAGGAGUCUAACAUGUGCGCGAGUCUUUGAGUGAAGGAAACUCGCAGGCGAAAUGAAAGUGAAGGCGGCCUAGCCGUCGAGGUGAGAGCCUGUCCUCCGGGGCGGGUGCAUCAUCGACCGACCUAUUCUGUUCUCAGGAAGGUUUGAGUAAGAGCGCAUCUGUUGGGACCC
rnacentral:rRNA from 1 species